CGCCGUCGCCUCCUUCUCCUCCGCCGCUCAGUCCGUCUAUGGCUGGUUCGGCGAUAAAUUGAGGGACUGGGGCUUCAAUAUGGAAAAGACCCAACAAUAACUAAAGUUUGUGAAUGUCUUUAUAUGGACCAAAGGGUUCGGAAAUGAACAUUGUAUGCCAUUUAAAUUUGUUUCCUAAUGUAUAAUUUGUACCCAUAUAUAUAAAUAUGUAUGUAUGCCUUCAAACAGAAUAACAUGAGUUGGAAUAUCUCUAACUAUAUAUGUUUCCUAA